rnacentral:lncRNA from 1 species
AAAAGAACAGGAGUCCUGAGUCUCCAAAAAUUUAAAACUUGACGAGAGAAAAUAAAUCUCUACAAACCUGGCUCUGAUACCAUGUAGAAAGAUAAUAUUUGUUGUUGUAUUUCAUAAUAAAGAUUACAACCUAUUUAUAUAUAAAAGACGGUAUCUAAACAGGAAAGAAAAUCAAGUCUAUAAUUAUACAAUCCCUAAGAUUAAGCAACUAACCCAUUUAUCAAU